rnacentral:rRNA from 1 species
UCAUAUCAAUAAGCGGAGGAAAAGAAACCAACCGGGAUUGCCUCAGUAACGGCGAGUGAAGCGGCAAAAGCUCAAAUUUGAAAUCUGGCUCCUUCGGGGUCCGAGUUGUAAUUUGCAGAGGAUGCUUCGGUUGCGGCCCCCAUCUAAGUACCCUGGAACGGGUCGUCAUAGAGGGUGAGAAUCCCGUAUGGGAUGGGGUGUCCGCGUCCGUGUGAAGCUCCUUCGACGAGUCGAGUUGUUUGGGAAUGCAGCUCUAAAUGGGUGGUAAAUUUCAUCUAAAGCUAAAUACUGGCCGGAGACCGAUAGCGCACAAGUAGAGUGAUCGAAAGAUGAAAAGCACUUUGAAAAGAGAGUUAAACAGCACGUGAAAUUGUUGAAAGGGAAGCGCUUGCGAUCAGACUCGCCUACGGGGUUCAGCCGGCUUUCGGGCCGGUGUACUUCCCCGUGGGCGGGCCAGCGUCGGUUUGGGCGGCCGGUCAAAGGCCCCUGGAAUGUAGCGCCUCUCGGGGCGCCUUAUAGCCAGGGGUGCAAUGCGGCCUGCCUGGACCGAGGAACGCGCUUCGGCACGGACGCUGGCAUAAUGGUCGUAAGCGACCCGUCUUGAAACACGGACCAAGGAGUCUAACAUCUACGCGAGUGUUCGGGUGUCAAACCCGUGCGCGGAGUGAAAGCGAACGGAGGUGGGAGCCCCCUCGCGGGGCGCACCAUCGACCGAUCCUGAUGUCUUCGGAUGGAUUUGAGUAAGAGCGUAAAUGUGGGGACCCGAAAGAUGGUGAACUAUGCCUGAAUAGGGCGAAGCCAGAGGAAACUCUGGUGGAGGCUCGCAGCGGUUCUGACGUGCAAAUCGAUCGUCGAAUUUGGGUAUAGGGGCGAAAGACUAAUCGAACCAUCUGGUAGCUGGUUCCUGUCGAAGUU